CUCACCACAAGUGUAGCUACCAUCUGUCACCAUACAAUGCUAUUACAAUAUCAUUGACUGUAUCUCCUGUGCUGUGCCUUUUAUUCCCAUGACUUAUCAAUUUCAUAACUAGUUGGAAAUUGAAGAAUGCAAUGGAAAGCAACAAGAAAAAGGCAAGGAGUCAGAGACAUCCCUGCCACGCGGCACAGAGAUUUAUAACUCUGAGCAAAGGUUUCAACAAAUACUAUUUCUUUACUCCAAAGUCCAUCUAUGUGUGCUUCCUGAAAUAAAGAACAGAGCAUUUCUGUCUUCUGGUCUCUAAUCCCAGGAGCCUUAGCAGCAGAGGCUGGGGGAGUUCCAAAAGGUCUUCUUAUAAGUCUGGAGAUAAUGACUGGCUCAAACAAGCUGGCGCCGUGUGGGGACACCCAUAGACUUUAUUUAUCUCUCUCUGUCUCUUUUUUUUUUUCAGGCUGACAUAGUGUCUGCACUGACAUACCCAGUCCAGAAAAAAGAAACUGUGUCUGUUAUAACUUUUACUUAAGUGGUGUAAGUGGAAAGAUGAUAAUGCAAAGAUUUGUUGAAAACACACUUCUUAUCCAGACAAUCCAUUGUAAUGUUUCAAUUAAAAAGUUCUACUCACAGAGAUUUAAAAAAAAAAAAAAGAAGAAGGACAAGAUCUGGGAUUGUUUAACGACCUGGAACAUGCAAAGAACAUAAUAGAAUUUCUGAUUCGGUAUCUGGGAUGUGGGUAUAUGAUUUGAGAUAUAAAUGAGACCCGUCGAUGGCUAUUAUUACCCUGCCCCCACCACAUCCCCUCCCAUGAAGAUAGGCAACAGGGAAGGUGCUUAAAUUCUUUCAGGGCCUAUGGUUGUCACUGAGCAAUUUACUUCUUUGGUAUCUCACAUACAGAUGGCUGGUAUAACACACAAAGCUCACCUGGGUGCCAGACUGGGGAAGUGUAGUUCAAGUAUCUCCAAUCCAUGUGACAAUGUUAUCUGAAAAACAUGUGACUUGAAGCCAGUGUAAUGACACUAAACCCACUCUAGUGCACAUUUUUGUAUAAGGCAUCCAUUUUGGAGCCCAGACCCAAUGCUAGUAGAACUCAGUAUUACAUUACAGUCUGAUUUAGCACAAGGUCUGGUGGCAGAGUCCAGGUAUGGUAAUCUUGGAAUUACCUAAUCUGGGAAGGAGCCAACUGGCCUAUGGAAUACCUGAAAAUGAAACACUGUCUACCAGAGAUGGGGAAGUAUAUCCACCUUCGAAACUGUUAAGACACUCUUGAAAACUGAAAACCACACAAAUGCCAACAAUGUCUUGGUUCCUGUGAAGUUCACUGUCUAGUAAUAAAAGGAGAUAAAAAAUACCCAUCUUAAAUAAUUUAAGUGGUAUACUAAGGGUAUAUCCAGGGCACUGUCAGAACACAGAAGAGGGACAACACUUACCCAGCCAGACAAUGAGGACCAGGGAAGGUUGCCACUAUAUCUAGUUAUAAGAAGUUCGGAGUACAGUUAAUGCAUCUUGUCUUGAAGGUGACACUUGUCCUCCAAAUAACUCAGACUCUUCCCAGAACCAUUCCAAAGGACUUAGCUCUUCCCAUAAAUGCUCUAUGUAUUUAUUCAUCUCCAUCCUCAGUGAAUGGAAGAAAGGUCAGAAAUGUGUCACUGCUUUGUAACCUAAGGUCUUCUGCCUUGUCUACUGAAUGAGUUACUGAAUUAAUAUUCCUCCCUACACAAAUUUUUCUUUAAAAAGUCUGUCCUUUCCUGCUUUGCAGUCUGAGCCCCUACUUCUCUGUACAUAAUUCUUCACAGAUCUCUAUCUAACCACUUAGACAAACUGUUUAACUUCAUUUGACAUUAUUUUUUCUGGAAGAGUAAAGCAAAAUUGCCUUAGAUAGAUUUUUUUUGGUUUUACAUCAUGAAAAAUUUUACCCCACUUGCUAUUUGCUGUUUUCCUUUUCCCAUCUUCUGCAUUCUUCCAGGAGGCCUCCUGAAUAGUCCAUGCUUAAGCUAAAGAAGACUGACAGUUAUUUUCAGUACCAAGUCUCACCUAAUAACGAAAAACCUAGGCACAUUUUCAUUUCCUGUAAAGUUAGCUGAGUCAGGUGAGGUGAAAAAUCAGAGAACGGGCUCUAUCUGGGGCUUCUGGGAAAACUCAAGGCCCUAAAAGUGAAUGUUCUCUUCUAAUUGCCUGACAGAGCUAUUUAACAUCCAUGACUUAGCGUUUUACAUCCUGGACAGGGUCUGACCAGCCUGACUUAACGACAAAGUUAGUUUUGAAAACCUCUUAUUCAUUUGUCUUUUCUCAUUGGCAAUGUCCAUGAGUCCAUUAUUCCUACGGACUAGAGAGGAACUCAGGAAUUACAAGGAUGGGCCCUUUUGGUUAGUGGCUGGCUAGGAUUUUGUAGUGUAUCCUCUGAAUGCAUUCACUGUCCUACAGUGGGUCUCAGGGUGUGGAAUGAUUUGUUAUUGAGUAAGGGCCAUGCUUAAAGUUUUCCAGCCCGCGUUUGGAUGCAAUGCAGGGUCACUUCAAUUACCUUGGAAAUGAGAGUGCUGGUAACCAGUGUAGAGACUAUUUUGGAAUAAGAUAAUAACAUCUAAAGCCACUUCCAGUUUGAUAAUAAAUAUCAUGUACUGAUUGAUACGAUGGUGCAGAUUUUCUUGUUAGAUCUGCUUAUGGAGUGAAUUACACCAACAGAGGUUUUAACAACAUUGUUGAAAUACAAUUCCCAUACCAUGCAAUUCACCCAAUUAAAGUGUAUAAUUCAAUAGAUUUAGUAUAAUCACAGAAUUGUAUAGUCAUCACCACAAUCUAAUUUUAAAAAUUUUUCAUCACACCAAAAAGAAACCCCAUAAUCAUUAGCUAUAACCAACCAAUGUCCUCAUUUCACGCCAGCCCUAGAUAACUGCUAAACUACUUUCUGUAUCUAUAGAUUCGUCUGUUACAGACAUUUCAUAUAAGUGGAAUCAUAUAGUAUGUGGUCUUCUGUGACUGGCUUAUUUAAUUUAGCAUAAUGUUUUUAAGGUUCAUCCUGUUGUAGAAUAUAUCAGGGCUUCAUUCCUUGUUAUUGCCAGAUAAUAUUCCAUUGAUGCAUAUACAUUUGUUUAUUCAUUCAUCGUUUGUUAGACAUUUGGAUUGUUUCCACUUUUUGGCCAUUAUGAAUAAUGCAGCUAGGCAGUGUUGUUUACAAAAGCCAAUACAUGAAAACAAUCUGACUGCUCAUGGACAGAUGAAUGGGUAAUGAAGAUGUGGUAAAUCUACAAUGUAAUCUUAUUCAGCCAUAAAAAAGGAAAUCCUGUCAUUUGCAACAACAUGGAUGAACCAAGGACAUUAUGCUAAGUAAAAUAAGUCAGACAGAGAAAAAUAAAUACUGUAUGAUCUCAGAUACAUGUGGAAUCUGAAAAAGCAAAAAACAAACUCAUAGGAAAAGGAAAGAUUUGUUGGUUACCAGAGGUGGAAGGGGGAUUGAAAGAAGGUCAAAAGGUACAAACUUCCAGUUAUAAGAUAAGUAAGUACUAGGGAUGUAAUGUACAACAUGAUGACUAUCAUUAACACUAAUGUAUAGUAUAUAUGGAAGUGGUUAAGAGAAUAAAUGCUAAGAGUUCCCAUCACAAGGAAAACACUUUUUUCUUUCUCAUGUUCUUUUUUUUUUGUGAUUAUAUGAGACAAUGAAUGUUAACUAAGCUUAUAAUGGUAACCAUUUAACCACAUAUGUAAGUCAAAUCAUUGUACUCUAUACCUUAAACUUAUACAGUUCUGUAUGUCAGUUAUAUCUCAAUAAAACUGGA